rnacentral:rRNA from 1 species
CAGGACGAACGCUGGCGGCGUGCUUAACACAUGCAAGUCGAACGAUGACGAUGGUGCUUGCACCGUCUGAUUAGUGGCGAACGGGUGAGUAACACGUGAGUAACCUGCCCUCCUCUUCGGGAUAACCGCCGGAAACGGUGGCUAAUACCGGAUAUGAAUGCCUGCCGCAUGGUGGGUGUUGGAAAGAUUUAUCGGUGGGGGAUGGACUCGCGGCCUAUCAGUUUGUUGGUGAGGUAAUGGCUCACCAAGGCGAUGACGGGUAGCCGGCCUGAGAGGGCGACCGGCCACACUGGGACUGAGACACGGCCCAGACUCCUACGGGAGGCAGCAGUGGGGAAUAUUGCACAAUGGGCGAAAGCCUGAUGCAGCGACGCCGCGUGGGGGAUGACGGCCUUCGGGUUGUAAACCUCUUUCAGCAGGGAAGAAGCGAGAGUGACGGUACCUGCAGAAGAAGCGCCGGCUAACUACGUGCCAGCCGCCGC